CAUCGCCGUGAUCCGUCGCAGCGAUCGGUUGGGCUUUCAGCUGGGCGCGAACCGGUCGAGCAGCAGGUAGACGGUGGCCUCCGGCAUCGCGUCGCCGCGGCACGUCCUCCUCGGCGUGUCAUCGUCGCCCUUGCUCCCCGCGGCGUCAGGUGCUCUGCCUUGCCUCCCCUCCGCGCCGCCGGCGCCGCUCUUGGGCCCCUGCGGCGGAUCGGCGCGGCCGCCCUGACACCUGCCCUGCAGGACCGAUGAGAUCUGGCAGAACCAGAGGCCGACCGGGUUGGGCGACGACGGAGAAGACACAGAGGAAGCCAUGGCGUUCUGUUCUCUCCUCUAGCGAGCUACUACGAUCGAGCUGGUGCUGCUGCGAUGACUGGAAAGAAAAACGUAGACCGGAUGGGCUCAGCUGGACACUUUGC
rnacentral:lncRNA from 1 species